UUAUAAAAAAACCUAAAUUAUACUUAAAUAAGUUAAUAAAGUUUUAGUUCUUGAUUUAGUAGAUUUUAGCCAAACAUGCAAUAUAUUUCCUAAAUAAAAUAUGGCAACGUUGUCUUGUAUUGAAUUAAGUGCGUCAUUUUGUAAUUUUUGUGUUGUGUAUGCGUUUUAUAUCAAUUUUAUAUUUGUGUAUUAAGUUUUUAUCCCGUACCCAAGUGAUUAGUGAAGUGAAUGUUUCAAAUUUUAGUUACUAAUAGACAUUUUUUCAGUGUAUAAAUUAUUUUUCUUCCCUCAGCUGUACCUAGUUGUUUCAAGGUAAUGUGAAUAAUUCCUAAGGUAGAAAGACAUUUUACAUUAUGUUAUGAAAACAAUGAAUUCAUGUCAAGAUUUAUAUAAAUAAUAAUUAUUACUGUCAUUUGUUGGUUUCAUUAUUGUUCUUACAUUGUCCAUACAUACAUACUUAUCAUUUUUUAAAUAUAAUCGCUGCUCAUGCUAAAUUCUAUGCUUGUGCAUGUUAUUAAUUUUUUGUUUUUGCAAUAAUUAUUUUUAUUUUUAUGGUUUCUGUAAUAAAAAUAUUUUAUUGCAAAAACUAAAAAUUAAUAACGUGCACAUUAUAGAAUUUGGUAUGCCUAGCGAAGCUUCCAAAACGGUACAGAUAUCUUCCAAAACGUUACAGAGAUCUUCCAAAUCGUUACAGAAAUCUUCCAAUUUAAAACGCUUAGUUGGCUUCCAAAAAUAUCGAUGGUGUUGGAAUACGGGACCAGUUCUGCCUAUAGAGUUCCCUUUCUACCCCACCCACUCUUCUAUGGAAUAAGUCUUCUUAACAGACCUUAAGCUGCGACAGAAACAUCCUGUAUCCUGUUAUGGCUGUUACUCAUCUCAUACUAAUGGCACCAGUGGCGCACCCAGGGGGUGGUUUGGGUGUUAAAACCCCUCCCACCGGCCACCAGUACAUACAAAGAAUAGUAGGAAAAUACAAAUCGGAGAUCCAAAAGUUUUUUUGAUCCAAAAUUGAGUGAUUUGAAAUGGAACCACCCGUAAUUAUAUGGUAUAAGUUCUUGGCUUGUGGCAGGUGUCGUCCAUUGACGAUUGACGACUCUCUGGAAUUGACCUAGCAGCUUGGUCUUCUGGCCAGUCUCUUUAGGCUUAGGAGUCUGUCAAUCACUGGAGGGUUUUGAAUUUUAAACUUUAUCGCAGAGUAAAUGUUGAAAAAUACUUUUUAUUGUACCUAUUAUAUUAUAUAAACAAUGAAAUAUUAUUCUGGUCCAGAUAAUAAAAAUAUUAUUUAUAACAAUUA